rnacentral:rRNA from 1 species
GUGCCAGCAGCCGCGGUAAUUCCAGCUCCAAUAGCGUAUAUUUAAGUUGUUGCAGUUAAAAAGCUCGUAGUUGGAUUUUGGGUGCGGCAGGCCGGUCCGCCGUUUCGGUGUGCACUGGCAGGCGGCAUCUUUCUGUCGAGGACGCGCUCCUGGCCUUCACUGGCCGGGACGCGGAGUCGGCGCAGUUACUUUGAAAAAAUUAGAGUGUUCAAAGCGGGCCUACGCUUGAAUAUAUUAGCAUGGAAUAACACCAUAGGACUCCUGUCCUAUUCCGUUGGUCUUCGGGAUGGGAGUAAUGAUUAAGAGGAACAGUUGGGGGCAUUCGUAUUUCAUUGUCAGAGGUGAAAUUCUUGGAUUUAUGAAAGACGAACUUCUGCGAAAGCAUUUGCCAAGGAUGUUUUCAUUAAUCAAGAACGAAAGUUGGGGGCUCGAAGAUGAUUAGAUACCAUCCUAGUCUCAACCAUAAACGAUGCCGACUAGGGAUUGGCGGGUGUUACUUUGAUGACCCCGCCAGCACCUUAUGAGAAAUCAAAGUCUUUGGGUUCCGGGGGGAGUAUGGUCGCAAGGCUGAAACUUAAAGGAAUUGACGGAAGGGCACCACCAGGAGUGGAGCCUGCGGCUUAAUUUGACUCAACACGGGGAAACUUACCAGGUCCAGACAUAGUAAGGAUUGACAGAUUGAGAGCUCUUUCUUGAUUCUAUGGGUGGUGGUGCAUGGCCGUUCUUAGUUGGUGGAGUGAUUUGUCUGGCUAAUCCCGUUAACGAACGAGACCUCAGCCUGCUAACUAGUCACGGUCUUUCUGAAAGGCUGGCCGACUUCUUAGAGGGACUAUUGGCGAUUAGCCAAUGGAAGUUUGAGGCAAUAACAGGUCUGUGAUGCCC